rnacentral:misc_RNA from 1 species
GAUGAAGAACGUAGUGAAAUGCGAUAAGUAGUGUGAAUUGCAGAAUUCAGUGAAUCAUCGAGUCUUUGAACGCACAUUGCGCCCUCUGGUAUUCCGGAGGGCAUGCCUGUCCGAGCGUCAUUGCUGCCCUCAAGCACGGCUUGUGUGUUGGGCCCCGCCCCCCGAUCCCGGGGGGCGGGCCCGAAAGGCAGCGGCGGCACCGCGUCCGGUCCUCGAGCGUAUGGGGCUUUGUCACCCGCUCUGUAGGCCCGGCCGGCGCCUGCCGAUCAACCAAACUUUUUUCCAGGUUGACCUCGGAUCAGGUAGGGAUACCCGCUGAACUUAAGCAUAUCAAUAAGCGGAGGA